rnacentral:rRNA from 1 species
AUUGAACGCUGGCGGCAGGCCUAACACAUGCAAGUCGAACGGUAACAGGAAACAGCUUGCUGUUUCGCUGACGAGUGGCGGACGGGUGAGUAAUGUCUGGGAAACUGCCUGAUGGAGGGGGAUAACUACUGGAAACGGUAGCUAAUACCGCAUAACGUCGCAAGACCAAAGAGGGGGACCUUCGGGCCUCUUGCCAUCGGAUGUGCACAGGUGGGAUUAGCUAGUAGGUGGGGUAACGGCUCACCUAGGGGACGAUCCCUAGCUGGUCUGAGAGGAUGACCAGCCACACUGGAACUGAGACACGGUCCGGACUCCUACGGGAGGCAGUAGUGGGGAAUAUUGCACAAUGGGCGCAAGCCUGAUGCAGCCAUGCCGCGUGUAUGAAGAAGGCCUUCGGGUUGUAAAGUACUUUCAGCGGGGAGGAAGGGAGUAAAGUCAAUACCUUUGCUCAUUGACGUUACCCGCAGAAGAAGCACCGGCUAACUCCGUGCCAGCCGCCGCUGUAA